AUGGCUUCUUAGCCAAUCAUUGUUCAUGUCGAGGGGAUAAAAGUAGGCCGUGCCCCUCCUCCUGAUCUCUCGCUUCUUGCCUUUUCGGUCCGCCUACUCCCGGGCUGUUGCGUGCGCCGCUCACCUCAGCACAGAUCCGAUGUCUCCAUCGCGGUCGAGGCGAUAUUUUAUUUGGGGUUGUCUACCGCCGUCGACCGGAGCAUAGAGCUGAAGGCUGACGGUGGUGGUGAUCCCUUGUGUGUGCGUGAGCUUCGUUCAAGAUUUUCUUUGUGUGCACGUCACGUUUUUGCUGUGUGAGUGGGGUGCUCUCCUUUUUUUUGGACGUCACUUUCCCCUGCCGACCCCUCCUCCAGCCGGCUACUGUUGAAACAUGGCCGUUCAAUAUGUAAGAAGAGGAAGAGAAGAGGACCCACUCCCUCUAUAGAUAUAAACAGCUCAUUCUAAGGUAACAAAAACACAAUGAUUCUUAUUUUCAGGUAAUGAUACACUAAUGAAAACAUACCUGAAUGAAUACAUACGUGAGGCGGCUGUGGCAGAGGCAGAGCGGCGGCUGUGGCAGAGGCAGAGCGGGUCGUUCCUUAAUCAGAAGGUUGAAGGUUCAAUCCCCGGCUCCUGGUGCCACAUGUCGAAGUAUCCUUGAGCAAGAUGCUGAACCCCAAAUUGCUCCCGAUGCUGUGCAUUGGUGUUUGAAUGUGUAUGAAUGUUUCUGUCCGAUGGACUUUGCCAUCGCUGUGUGAAUGUGUGUGAAAGGGUGAAUGUGGCACGUAGUGUAAAAGCGCUUUGACUGGUCGGAAGACUAGAAAGGCGCUAUACAAGUACAGGUCCAUUUACCAUGAAUAUUAUAUUCCAUUUCUGUCAAUAGAGCCUCCAAAAUUUUGCACACUGGACCUUGAAGUUAUCACAACCUGACUUUAGUUCUGUUAAGUUGACCUCUUUUGUGCUCCCAGAACUUUGUUGUAUGUUUUCAAAAUGUUGGGGCGAAUAAAACCCCUUUUGAAAAUUCACCUGUGACUCCUCACGCCUGCCAGCUCAGUCCCACGUGGCUUUAAUCAAUGGCAGCAAUAUCUUUUGUGAACCAGUGUGCACUCGCUGUACUCGGCAGAUACCCAUCAC